rnacentral:ribozyme from 1 species
UUCAUAAAUCCGUUGUGACUUUGGCUGGGACGCCAAAUCUCGCGACCCAAUUCGCAAUAAUAGCUUUAGGAACACUCUCCUUCUCAACUCCUACUCAAUACGUCCACGUCGUGCAGAACGGUAACUUGUUGCUCAGAUCCAAGCUUGGGUACACGGGGAAACCCAACCCCUCGGGCGGAUGAGCGGCAAGGCAGAAUUGAGAGGU